AUUGAACGCUGGCGGAAUGCUUUACACAUGCAAGUCGAGCGGCAGCGCGGGGGCAACCCUGGCGGCGAGCGGCGAACGGGUGAGUAACAUAUCGGAACGUACCCAGUCGUGGGGGAUAACUAUCCGAAAGGAUAGCUAAUACCGCAUACGUCCUGAGGGAGAAAGCGGGGGAUCGCAAGACCUCGCGCGAUUGGAGCGGCCGAUAUCGGAUUAGCUAGUUGGUGGGGUAAAGGCUCACCAAGGCGACGAUCCGUAGCGGGUCUGAGAGGACGACCCGCCACACUGGAACUGAGACACGGUCCAGACUCCUACGGGAGGCAGCAGUGGGGAAUUUUGGACAAUGGGCGCAAGCCUGAUCCAGCCAUGCCGCGUGAGUGAAGAAGGCCUCGGUUGUAAG
rnacentral:rRNA from 1 species